AAUAAACUUUCAGCAGAUCACGGAGAAUGCCUGAAUAGUUCAUUUCAUCACCAUGACGAGAGAAGGCGUUGUUGUCGCCUCAGGAUUGCUCUUGGUCCUUCAUCUGACUGGUUUUCUGUUUGAGGACACAAUGAAUGACAAGUGUCGCCCGGGGUUUGUUCGAGUAGACCAGUGGUGCUUCUCGUUCCAUACAGAACCUACCUCCAUGUUACAAUCCAGUGACGUAUGUCACCAACAUGGCGCUCACAUGGCGGUACUUGACUCUCAGGAAAAGGAGAAGGCUAUGACAGACUACAUUGAACAAAUGGGAUUCUUUGAUAUAUACCAGGAGAGAAAGGAACUGUAUAAAAUUGCUCAACAUGAGUGGGAUGUUCAAACAGAAAAAAAUAAAUUUUGUGAGGACUAUAAGUUACAUGGUAUUCAUAGUGAUAAAUACCGCCACAUACCUAAUGCAAAGGUUCCCCUCCACAUCUCAGAGCAAACCUCAGCACUCCACCAGGAUUCAGCAUCAAACUCUCCAACAUCCCUGGGGCCGGUUUAGGAGCUUGGACGAACGAGUUUGUCCCUCAAUACACGAUACUGGGUGUUUAUGAAGGUGUGAUCCACACCAGGGAAUCCGACUCGGACUUGUAUUCAUGGCAGGUGGACAAGCAGGGAAGUAACGGUACCUAUGUCAUUGACGCCGCUGACCCGGCCUGUAGUAACUGGCUCAGGUUCGUGAACUCACCGACCACCCACACAGAGGAAAACGUCACCCCCGUACCCUGCGCCGGCAUCGUGUUCUAUAUGACGUCACGUGACGUGGAGCCGGGGACAGAACUGUUGGUCUGGUACGGUGACGGUUAUGGACGGUUUCUUGGAGUAAAUAGGAUUCAUCCGGAAUAUGACCUGAACGGUUCCGUGGCGUUACGUGCUAACGUGAUAACGUACAUUGAUGACAAAGGUUUGGUGUUCGACGACUGGACGCCCGUCAAGUAUCAGAACUGGUUCGACAACGACGACGACGAGGGCGAGACGGUGUUGGGCCAGAUAUUUGGUCUGUUGUUGACCUAUCACCAUGACAACAAGUGGUACUGGGUGGCUGAGCGUAACUACACUUACUAUACAGGACACGAGGGGCUAAAGCUUCCCUUUAUCUGUGAAGAUUCCACAAAUAACUCUGGAGUUGGAUGAAGUGUAACCAAAAUUAGCUAUAACUGAUAUCAUAUUUGACUUUUCUUUUUUGUUAUAUUUAGUUUCACCGAAUAUGCAGCUGGUUAAAAGUGAUGUAUGUUUAUACAAAUAUUAAAUUAUACUUUAUGCAAUUGCAUAAAAAGCAUGCCGGAAAAGAGGAACUUUAAUUGCCAUUUUGUUGUGAAGAUGGUGAUUCUUAACUUUCGAAGAGCUAACAAGAAUCAAUCUACAGAAAAUAAAACAGGUUUCAAAUAAUACACUCUU
rnacentral:misc_RNA from 1 species